rnacentral:rRNA from 1 species
ACCUACGGGAGGCAGCAGUAGGGAAUCUUCGGCAAUGGGCGAAAGCUUGACCGAGCAACGCCGCGUGAAUGAAGAAGGCCUUCGGGUUGUAAAAUUCUUUUAUAAGGGAAGAAAGGUGAUAGGAGGAAAUGACUAUCAAUUGACGGUACCUUAUGAGAAAGCAACGGCUAACUACGUGCCAGCAGCCGCGGUAAUACGUAGGGGGCGAGCGUUAUCCGGAUUUAUUGGGCGUAAAGCGCGUGUAGGCGGUUUGUUAAGUAUAAGAUUAAAGCCUGAGGCUCAACCUCAGUUCGUCUUAUAAACUG